CACGUAGGGGGCAAGCGUUGUCCGGAAUCAUUGGGCGUAAAGCGCGUGUAGGCGGCCCGGUAAGUCCGCUGUGAAAGUCGGGGGCUCAACCCUCGAAUGCCGGUGGAUACUGUCGGGCUAGAGUGCGGAAGAGGCGAGUGGAAUUCCUGGUGUAGCGGUGAAAUGCGCAGAUAUCAGGAAGAACACCCGUGGCGAAGGCGGCUCUCUGGGACGGUACUGACGCUGAGACGCGAAAGCGUGGGGAGCGAACAGG
rnacentral:rRNA from 1 species